UUCAGUUAACGGUUUACAGCAGUUUGAAAUUGGUCGGGGCGUGUUUCGCUGGAAGCAAGUUCGUUUGAUGUUUUCUUUGAUCUCUCGUCGAACACCAGCGGGAAUGUUGGAGUCAAUUUUCUGAAUGCACAGCAGCACUGGGAGUCCUCACCAAUGGACAAACUGAAGAAGGAAUCCAAAGACAGUGACUGGGUAUGGGAUGAUUCGUUUGGCAUUCAGAUCACAUACAGUCAAAGAAUGCUGGAGGCCAAUAGAGAAGACUUUGCCGCCCACUGAGAUUCGUUCAUACUGCCAAAGCCAACUGAACCCGCAGCAUACACGAUGGUAUACUUAUACACUAAGUGAUGGAGAUCUAGAAAUAUGUUGUUAAUUUAUGAAAUUGCUCUGAGAAGAUAAUUCCGGUCAUGAUUGGGAUGUUAAUCUUUGUCUUAGUUAG